ensembl:lncRNA
CAUAGAACUGAUUUUUCUAUUUGUAAGUUUGCAAAUUUUGGUGACAUGGUUAAUGACAUCUCAAAGAUGUCUGAGAUGACUGGCUAUUGAGCAAAAGCUGCAGAGGUUUUUGAGGUAAAGAGCAGCAAUCAUGCAAGAAGAUACUGCAUUUGCACUGCAAAUUUCCCCUAUUGCACAUUUGUAAGGCAAAUGCAUUUGCAACUUGAUGGGUUCUAAUAGGCCAGAUCAGAAAUAUGACAACAAACAUAAAAUGAUGUUUGAUCAUCCAGGCGAGGAACAUUUGAGAGCAAACUAGACCAAACAAUUUGAGAACCAAGCAAUUUGAGAGCAAAGUGGACCAAACAAUCAUUACACUGGAGCAAUACCCAGUUUAAAGAGAAAUCAACUUUAGUACAAGCCAGAGCAUAAAUAAAAAUGUAUAAAAACAGCAGAGAAGAAAAGAAGGAGAGAUUCUUUUAGUAAACACUGGGCUGCUUGACAUAAACACAGUAACAGGAUGUGACAGUUGAGCUGUGGAAAAUGUGCUCUGUGGUUUCACUGGUCACUGCAAAUAAAAGCACAAAAUUAAAUAUAAUAUAUUUGUAUACAAUACAUACAAUAGGUAUUGUAUGUAGGUUACCCGUGUUUGCAUUCACACUUUAAAUCUUUAGCAGCUUUUUAAAGACAGCAUUACAAAAAAACAACAACAACAACAACAACAACAACAACAACAACAACAAAAACAAUGUGAACAUAUGACUAAUGCAAACUAUAUUCUGUGCAACUGAUCAUGUGAUAUUUAUUUCCAAUAAUCUGCUACUGUACAAAAUGUUAUUAAGGAUAUUCUCAUCUGCUGUUUUAGGCAUUGCCCUCUGUCUUCACUUCUUCCUUUACUAGUUCAGUCUUUCAAAGCAUGUGUGUAAGAUCCGGAGCGGACAGUAAGACAGAAGUUUACACGGCUUAACUGACCUUAAACUGAGUGUCCUGUUAUGGCAAAUUUUCUAACCAGGAAUCUUCAUCUGGAUCUCUGCGUCGUCAUUAUUCUCCUGAUUCAUGCAGAUUAUUCCAAAUCCAAUCAAGAACAAAGGAUUCAGCAGCACAUCAACAAAACAGUGUUUGUGGGGGAAACAGUUACACUUCACUGCAACAAAACCGAGUUUGAUGAGGAUUUCAUAUGGAAAAUGAACAAUUCUUUUAUUUUUAGUCUUGACUAUUACAGUAACAGAACAAUGAGAAACUUCAGCUCAAACAGGAUUCACAUCGACUCCACAGCUCCAAGAGAAUUAACAAUACAUCAAAUACAAGCGUCUGAUGCAGGAAACUACACCUGUUACCCAGCAGCAAUAAGAUGGACAUUAACAACAACAGAAAACCAGAUCAGACCAAAGUCACCCAAAGAAAUGCCGCUGCACAUAAUUAUCAUCAUCAUCUCAUGUUGUGGAGUCAUAAUGAUCUGUCUGAUCAUCACCAUCAGCAUCUGCAUUCACAGGAAACUGAGGCAGAAGAUGAACUCGAGUUUAGAAAAGGAGGAUGUGAAGAUGAUCGCUGACUGUGACAAACACACACUCACAGCCUGUGUAAGUCAGUUGAACAGUUUACCACAUCAUGUCUGUUCACCGGCCCCCAACAAAUAUCACUGACACACUUACACUUCUUGAUGGAAAGAAGUUGUGCAAUCUAACUUCUACUUUAU